rnacentral:rRNA from 1 species
GAUGAACGCUGGCGGCGUGCCUAAUACAUGCAAGUCGAGCGAACGGACGAGAAGCUUGCUUCUCUGAUGUUAGCGGCGGACGGGUGAGUAACACGUGGAUAACCUACCUAUAAGACUGGGAUAACUUCGGGAAACCGGAGCUAAUACCGGAUAAUAUUUUGAACCGCAUGGUUCAAAAGUGAAAGACGGUCUUGCUGUCACUUAUAGAUGGAUCCGCGCUGCAUUAGCUAGUUGGUAAGGUAACGGCUUACCAAGGCAACGAUGCAUAGCCGACCUGAGAGGGUGAUCGGCCACACUGGAACUGAGACACGGUCCAGACUCCUACGGGAGGCAGCAGUAGGGAAUCUUCCGCAAUGGGCGAAAGCCUGACGGAGCAACGCCGCGUGAGUGAUGAAGGUCUUCGGAUCGUAAAACUCUGUUAUUAGGGAAGAACAUAUGUGUAAGUAACUGUGCACAUCUUGACGGUACCUAAUCAGAAAGCCACGGCUAACUACGUGCCAGCAGCCGCGGUAAUACGUAGGUGGCAAGCGUUAUCCGGAAUUAUUGGGCGUAAAGCGCGCGUAGCGGUUUUUUAAGUCUGAUGUGAAAGCCCACGGCUCAACCGUGGAGGGUCAUUGGAAACUGGAAAACUUGAGUGCAGAAGAGGAAAGUGGAAUUCCAUGUGUAGCGAUGAAAUGCGCAGAGAUAUGGAGGAACACCAGUGGCGAAGGCGACUUCCUGGUCUGUAACUGACGCUGAUGUGCGAAAGCGUGGGGAUCAAACAGGAUUAGAUACCCUGGUAGUCCACGCCGUAAACGAUGAGUGCUAAGUGUUAGGGGGUUUCCGCCCCUUAGUGCUGCAGCUAACGCAUUAAGCACUCCGCCUGGGGAGUACGACCGCAAGGUUGAAACUCAAAGGAAUUGACGGGGACCCGCACAAGCGGUGGAGCAUGUGGUUUAAUUCGAAGCAACGCGAAGAACCUUACCAAAUCUUGACAUCCUUUGACAACUCUAGAGAUAGAGCCUUCCCCUUCGGGGGACAAAGUGACAGGUGGUGCAUGGUUGUCGUCAGCUCGUGUCGUGAGAUGUUGGGUUAAGUCCCGCAACGAGCGCAACCCUUAAGCUUAGUUGCCAUCAUUAAGUUGGGCACUCUAAGUUGACUGCCGGUGACAAACCGGAGGAAGGUGGGGAUGACGUCAAAUCAUCAUGCCCCUUAUGAUUUGGGCUACACACGUGCUACAAUGGACAAUACAAAGGGCAGCGAAACCGCGAGGUCAAGUAAAUCCCAUAAAGUUGUUCUCAGUUCGGAUUGUAGUCUGCAACUCGACUACAUGAAGCUGGAAUCGCUAGUAAUCGUAGAUCAGCAUGCUACGGUGAAUACGUUCCCGGGUCU